CCCUUGCGCUGGGCUAGACAUCCUUUUACGUCAUCUCUUCCACAAAGCCUCGCCACCGCACACCAUCCCCGCAAAAAAGAGAGGUCACCCACAGAGUCAUGAGGACACUCAGGAAGCCUCUGGAGAGGCCCAUGUGGGAAGCAACUGAGGCCUUCCGUGAGCUACCAGCACCACCUUGCCAGCCUGUCACUGCACCACCUUGGAAGCAGAUCUUCCAGCUCCAGUCACUUCUGAUGACUGCAGCCCCGGUGACAUCUUGGCCGCAGCCUCAUGGGAUGCCCUGGGACAGCCAUUCCUGAAUUUGAGACCCACACAACCUCUGCACCACGAGGCUUGCAGGAUCUUAGUUCCCUGACCAGGGAUUGAACCUGGGCCCAUGGCAGUGAAAGUGCC